rnacentral:rRNA from 1 species
UACGGGGGGGCGAGCGUUGUCCGAAGUUACUGGGCGUAAAGCGCGUGUAGGCGGGUUGUUAAGUCCGCUGUGAAAGCCCGGUGCUCAACGCCGGAGGGUCGGUGGAUACUGGCAGUCUUGAAGUGGCUAGGGGGAAAUGGAAUUACCGGUGUAGCGGUGAAAUGCGUAGAUAUCGGUAGGAACACCAGUGGCGAAGGCGGUUCCUGGAGCCCACUUGACGCUGAGACGCGAAAGCUGGGGAGCAACGGG